UACGUAGGGGGCGAGCGUUGUCCGGAAUCAUUGGGCGUAAAGAGCGUGUAGGCGGCUUGGCAAGUCUGACGUGAAAUCCCGCGGCUCAACCGCGGUAGGUCGUUGGAAACUGCCUCGCUAGAGUCCGGAAGAGGAGAGCGGAAUUCCGUGGUGUAGCGGUGGAAUGCGCAGAUAUCAGGAAGAACACCCGUGGCGAAGGCGGCUCCUCUGGGACGGUACUGACGCUGAGACGCGAAAGCGUGGGAGCGAACAGG
rnacentral:rRNA from 1 species